rnacentral:rRNA from 1 species
UACGUAGGGUGCGAGCGUUGUCCGGAAUUAUUGGGCGUAAAGAGCUUGUAGGCGGUUUGUCGCGUCUGCCGUGAAAAUUCGAGGCUCAACCUCGAACUUGCGGUGGGUACGGGCAGACUAGAGUGUGGUAGGGGAGACUGGAAUUCCUGGUGUAGCGGUGAAAUGCGCAGAUAUCAGGAGGAACACUGAUGGCGAAGGCAGGUCUCUGGGCCACUACUGACGCUGAGAAGCGAAAGCAUGGGGAGCGAACAGG